rnacentral:rRNA from 1 species
CGAGCGGUAGAGAGGUGCUUGCACCUCUUGAGAGCGGCGGACGGGUGAGUAAUACCUAGGAAUCUGCCUGGUAGUGGGGGAUAACGCUCGGAAACGGACGCUAAUACCGCAUACGUCCUACGGGAGAAAGCAGGGGACCUUCGGGCCUUGCGCUAUCAGAUGAGCCUAGGUCGGAUUAGCUAGUUGGUGAGGUAAUGGCUCACCAAGGCGACGAUCCGUAACUGGUCUGAGAGGAUGAUCAGUCACACUGGAACUGAGACACGGUCCAGACUCCUACGGGAGGCAGCAGUGGGGAAUAUUGGACAAUGGGCGAAAGCCUGAUCCAGCCAUGCCGCGUGUGUGAAGAAGGUCUUCGGAUUGUAAAGCACUUUAAGUUGGGAGGAAGGGUUGUAGAUUAAUACUCUGCAAUUUUGACGUUACCGACAGAAUAAGCACCGGCUAACUCUGUGCCAGCAGCCGCGGUAAUACAGAGGGUGCAAGCGUUAAUCGGAAUUACUGGGCGUAAAGCGCGCGUAGGUGGUUUGUUAAGUUGGAUGUGAAAGCCCCGGGCUCAACCUGGGAACUGCAUUCAAAACUGACAAGCUAGAGUAUGGUAGAGGGUGGUGGAAUUUCCUGUGUAGCGGUGAAAUGCGUAGAUAUAGGAAGGAACACCAGUGGCGAAGGCGACCACCUGGACUGAUACUGACACUGAGGUGCGAAAGCGUGGGGAGCAAACAGGAUUAGAUACCCUGGUAGUCCACGCCGUAAACGAUGUCAACUAGCCGUUGGGGACCUUGAGUCUUUAGUGGCGCAGCUAACGCAUUAAGUUGA